rnacentral:rRNA from 1 species
GACAGAGGGUGCAAGCGUUGUUCGGAAUUAUUGGGCGUAAAGGGCGCGUAGGCGGCCUCGCAAGUCAGGUGUGAAAUCCCAGGGCUUAACCCUGGAACUGCAUCUGAUACUGCUUGGCUUGAAUCCCGGAGAGGGUGGUGGAAUUCCUGGUGUAGAGGUGAAAUUCGUAGAUAUCAGGAGGAACACCGGUGGCGAAGGCGACCACCUGGACGGAGAUUGACGCUGAGGCGCGAAAGCGUGGGGAGCAAACGGG